UCGAACGAGAAAGUGGAGCAAUCCAUGAGUAAAGUGGCGUACGGGUGAGUAACACGUGGGUAAUCUACCUUCUGGUGUGGAAUAACCCUGGGAAACCGGGGCUAAUACCGCAUAAUCCCGAGAGGGGAAAGGUGAAAAUCGCCGGAAGAGGAGCCCGCGGCCGAUUAGCUAGUUGGUGAGGUAACGGCCCACCAAGGCAGAGAUCGGUAGCCGGCCUGAGAGGGCACACGGCCACACUGGCACUGAAACACGGGCCAGACUCCUACGGGAGGCAGCAGUGGGGAAUCUUGCACAAUGGGGGAAACCCUGAUGCAGCGACGCCGCGUGAGCGAUGAAGCCCUUCGGGGUGUAAAGCUCUUUCGGCAGGGAAGAUUAUGACGGUACCUGCAGAAGCAGCUGCGGCUAACUACGUGCUAGCAGCCGCGGUAAUACGUAGGCAGCAAGCGUUGUUCGGAGUUACUGGGCGUAAAGGGUGUGUAGGCGGUUGCUUAAGUUUGGUGUGAAAUCUCCCGGCUCAACUGGGAGGGUGCGCCGAAUACUGAGUGACUAGAGUGCGGGAGAGGAAAGUGGAAUUCCUGGUGUAGCGGUGAAAUGCGUAGAUAUCAGGAGGAACACCGGUGGUGUAGACGGCUUUCUGGACCGUAACUGACGCUUAAACACGAAAGCGUGGGUAGCAAACAGGAUUAGAUACCCUGGUAGUCCACGCCCUAAACGAUGCAUAUUUGGUGUGGGCAGUUCAUUCUGUCCGUGCCGGAGCUAACGCGUUAAAUAUGCCGCCUGGGGAGUACAGUCGCAA
rnacentral:rRNA from 1 species